rnacentral:tRNA from 1 species
GGAGAGGUGGCGGAGCUCGGUUGAACGUGCCUGACUCGAAAUCAGGUGUACCCGCAAGGGUACCGUGGGUUCGAAUCCCACCCUCUCCGCCA